UACGUAGGUGGCGAGCGUUGUCCGGAUUUACUGGGCGUAAAGGGAGCGUAGGCGGACUUUUAAGUGAGAUGUGAAAUACUCGGGCUCAACUUGAGUGCUGCAUUUCAAACUGGAAGUCUAGAGUGCAGGAGAGGAGAAUGGAAUUCCUAGUGUAGAGGUGAAAUGCGUAGAGAUUAGGAAGAACACCAGUGGCGAAGGCGAUUCUCUGGACUGUAACUGACGCUGAGGCUCGAAAGCGUGGGGAGCAAACAGG
rnacentral:rRNA from 1 species